rnacentral:rRNA from 1 species
CGAACGCUGGCGGCAGGCCUAAUACAUGCAAGUCGAACGGCUCUUCGGAGCAGUGGCGGACGGGUGAGUAACGCGUGGGAAUGUGCCCUUAGGUACGGAACAACACAGGGAAACUUGUGCUAAUACCGUAUGUGCCCUUCGGGGGAAAGAUUUAUUGCCUUUGGAGCAGCCCGCGUUGGAUUAGCUAGUUGGUGAGGUAAAGGCUCACCAAGGCUACGAUCCAUAGCUGGUCUGAGAGGAUGAUCAGCCACACUGGGACUGGGACACGGCCCAGACUCCUACGGGAGGCAGCAGUAGGGAAUCUUGCGCAAUGGGCGAAAGCCUGACGCAGCCAUGCCGCGUGAAUGAUGAAGGUCUUAGGAUUGUAAAAUUCUUUCACCGGGGAAGAUAAUGACGGUACCCGGAGAAGAAGCCCCGGCUAACUUCGUGCCAGCCGCCGCCGUAAGAC